CGACCGCUUCUCACUCGCCUC
rnacentral:siRNA from 1 species